AAGUUUAGGUAGUUGGUACUGUAAAAGAUUACCAAGCCUUCAAUGCUUAACUAAUCUGGGAGGAUGUUUAGUCACAUAAGAACUGAGAUAAGGUCUUAAACCAUACGUGGUUCAGCAGUAGAGAAUAAUUGGACAAUGGACGUAAGUUUGAUCCAGAAAUGCUUAUAGAAUGAAAGAAGGCUCUUGCUGUAAAGUUCUUUUAUUUAGAAAAAAUAAUGAUAUUAUCUAAAAUGGAAUUAGUCUUGGUUAAUACCUGUGCCAGCAGCUGCGGUAAUACAGGAGAGGCGGACGUUAUUCGUCGUUAUUGGGUGUAAAGGG
rnacentral:rRNA from 1 species